GUGGGGAAUAUUGCACAAUGGGCGAAAGCCUGAUGCAGCAACGCCGCGUGAGGGAUGACGGCCUUCGGGUUGUAAACCUCUUUUAGCAGGGAAGAAGCGUGAGUGACGGUACCUGCAGAAAAAGCACCGGCUAACUACGUGCCAGCAGCCGCGGUAAUACGUAGGGUGCAAGCGUUGUCCGGAAGUAUUGGGCGUAAAGAGCUCGUAGGCGGCUUGUCGCGUCUGCUGUGAAAACCCGGGGCUCAACCCCUGGCCUGCAGUGGGUACGGGCAGGCUAGAGGGCGGUAGGGGAGAUUGGAAUUCCUGGUGUAGCGGUGGAAUGCGCAGAUAUCAGGAGGAACACCGAUGGCGAAGGCAGAUCUCUGGGCCGUAACUGACGCUGAGGAGCGAAAGCAUGGGGAGCGAACAGGAUUAGAAACCCUUGUAGUCC
rnacentral:rRNA from 1 species